rnacentral:lncRNA from 1 species
CCAAGUUCUCCAACCAGAUUCUACACAGCAACUGGAGGACAGGGCCUCAGAUCAAGGAAGAAGUGGGAUUGGUUUGGAGGGAUCCUAUCUGGACUCAAGGAAAGUGACAAUACAAAUUAUGGGAUGGAUCUACAUCCUCGAGGUAUCCUUAUAAGAAGAAGCGUGAAACUUGGACACACUGAUAUACCCAAGGAUAAAGUUCACGUGAAGAUGGAGGCAGAGGCUGGAAUAUGUGGCUUCAAAGAACACUCCCGGCCAGCAAUCACCAGAAGCUGAGAAGAGCAAAGAAAGAUUCAUCCCUAGAACCUGGUGUUAUUUAUCUGCUCAUAAAUGCUGAUAGUCAAGAACAAAAUGAACGAGUCACAAGAUAUUGAAAACAAAAAUCCUUAGGAGCAGCUGAUCCUGGUGGGCCAGGAAGCUCAGAAUCAAAAUGGAUGCUCAGUUGGAACAUCCGCACUAGCCUGCCACAUUAGCACGUUUGCUACCACCUCUUUCUGCAGAUCCCAUUUGCAAUUUCUGGGUUUACACCAUCAGACUGAUUUUCUAUGUAAUCUUCGUUAUAAGCCUCUUCAGAUGUUUUUAAAAUGAAAUGAGGAAUACAUUAAUGAAUAAUCAAAUGAU